GCAUAACAACUGGGCAAAAGAGAUAAAUUAUUAUUGAGCCCAAUAUGCUAUAAAAGCUCAAAACCCUAAACCAACGAAACCUGCAGUAGCGUUUUAUUUAUCUUUUCGCACCGUCUAUUCAGAUCUCAGCUUGCCCAGCUCUCCCUCCGGCAACCCAGUAAGAGAUCUACAUUGAAUUCUUCCAAUGGCUGUCGCAUUCUACAACCUAACCUCAGAAUCUGGCCUUAAGAAGCUUGAUGAGUACCUUCUGACACGUAGUUAUAUCACAGGGUACCAGGCUUCUAAGGAUGAUAUUACUGUGUAUUCUGCUCUUUCAAAACCACCCUCAUCUGAAUUUGUGAAUGUAUCUCGGUGGUUCAAACACAUUGAUGCACUUUUAAGAAUUUCUGGUAUAUCUGGGGAAGGUUGCGGUGUCACUAUUGAAGGAUUUGCUGCAGCCACAGAGGAAGCUGUUGCUACUCCUGCUGCUGCUGAUACAAAGGCAGCAGCUGCUGUGGAUGAUGACGAUGAUGAUGUAGAUCUAUUUGGUGAAGAAACUGAAGAGGAAAAGAAGGCUGCCGAAGAACGUGCUGCUGCCGUAAAGGCAUCUGGCAAAAAGAAAGAGUCGGGGAAGUCUUCAGUUUUGAUGGAUGUCAAGCCAUGGGAUGAUGAGACUGACAUGAAAAAGCUUGAGGAAGCUGUCCGAAAUGUUAAAAUGGAGGGAUUGCUUUGGGGAGCUUGUAUGAUUCUCUUCUUUUUUGGACAUUGUUUUUAUACUGAAUAUAGCAGACUUUUGGAACUGGUAUCUUAUUAAUUCUAAGCUGGUACCUGUUGGAUAUGGCAUAAAAAAAUUACAAAUCAUGCUUACCAUUGUGGAUGACCUGGUGUCAGUUGAUGAUCUUAUUGAGAACUAUCUUACAGUUGAACCAUGUGAUGAGUUUGUCCAGAGCUGCGAUAUUGUGGCUUUCAACAAGAUAUAAAUGUCUGAAUCUUCUCGGCACGAAAACAGUUGUUGGAGGCGUAGCAGGCAGGAAGUUCCUAUUGUUUGUAUUCUGCUAAAUUAUAAUGGUAGUUUGUGACUUUUGACAUAAUUGUCUAGCUUAAAGAAUUUUGGGUUAUUUUUGUUGUCAAAGACUACAGUCUAGAUAUGCUGUCACCUUUGAAUUGAAAUUUCAGAAUUUUGCUUUAUAAGAUUACAAAAAAAUAUUUGUUUUGUGUUG